rnacentral:rRNA from 1 species
GGUUAAGCGACUAAGCGUACACGGUGGAUGCCCUGGCAGUCAGAGGCGAUGAAGGACGUGCUAAUCUGCGAUAAGCGUCGGUAAGGUGAUAUGAACCGUUAUAACCGGCGAUUUCCGAAUGGGGAAACCCAGUGUGAUUCGUCACACUAUCAUUAACUGAAUCCAUAGGUUAAUGAGGCGAACCGGGGGAACUGAAACAUCUAAGUACCCCGAGGAAAAGAAAUCAACCGAGAUUCCCCAGUAGCGGCGAGCGAACGGGGAGCAGCCCAGAGCCUGAAUCAGUGUGUGUGUUAGUGGAAGCGUCUGGAAAGGCGUGCGAUACAGGGUGACAGCCCCGUACACAAAAAUGCACAUACUGUGAGCUCGAUGAGUAGGGCGGGACACGUGGUAUCCUGUCUGAAUAUGGGGGACCAUCCUCCAAGGCUAAAUACUCCUGACUGACCGAUAGUGAACCAGUACCGUGAGGGAAAGGCGAAAAGAACCCCGGCGAGGGGAGUGAAAAAGAACCUGAAACCGUGUACGUACAAGCAGUGGGAGCACGCUUAGGCGUGUGACUGCGUACCUUUUGUAUAAUGGGUCAGCGACUUAUAUUCUGUAGCAAGGUUAACCGAAUAGGGGAGCCGAAGGGAAACCGAGUCUUAACUGGGCGUUAAGUUGCAGGGUAUAGACCCGAAACCCGGUGAUCUAGCCAUGGGCAGGUUGAAGGUUGGGUAACACUAACUGGAGGACCGAACCGACUAAUGUUGAAAAAUUAGCGGAUGACUUGUGGCUGGGGGUGAAAGGCCAAUCAAACCGGGAGAUAGCUGGUUCUCCCCGAAAGCUAUUUAGGUAGCGCCUCGUGAAUUCAUCUCCGGGGGUAGAGCACUGUUUCGGCAAGGGGGUCAUCCCGACUUACCAACCCGAUGCAAACUGCGAAUACCGGAGAAUGUUAUCACGGGAGACACACGGCGGGUGCUAACGUCCGUCGUGAAGAGGGAAACAACCCAGACCGCCAGCUAAGGUCCCAAAGUCAUGGUUAAGUGGGAAACGAUGUGGGAAGGCCCAGACAGCCAGGAUGUUGGCUUAGAAGCAGCCAUCAUUUAAAGAAAGCGUAAUAGCUCACUGGUCGAGUCGGCCUGCGCGGAAGAUGUAACGGGGCUAAACCAUGCACCGAAGCUGCGGCAGCGACGCUUAUGCGUUGUUGGGUAGGGGAGCGUUCUGUAAGCCUGUGAAGGUGUGCUGUGAGGUAUGCUGGAGGUAUCAGAAGUGCGAAUGCUGACAUAAGUAACGAUAAAGCGGGUGAAAAGCCCGCUCGCCGGAAGACCAAGGGUUCCUGUCCAACGUUAAUCGGGGCAGGGUGAGUCGACCCCUAAGGCGAGGCCGAAAGGCGUAGUCGAUGGGAAACAGGUUAAUAUUCCUGUACUUGGUGUUACUGCGAAGGGGGACGGAGAAGGCUAUGUUGGCCGGGCGACGGUUGUCCCGGUUUAAGCGUGUAGGCUGGUUUUCCAGGCAAAUCCGGAAAAUCAAGGCCGAGGCGUGAUGACGAGGCACUACGGUGCUGAAGCAACAAAUGCCCUGCUUCCAGGAAAAGCCUCUAAGCAUCAGGUAACAUCAAAUCGUACCCCAAACCGACACAGGUGGUCAGGUAGAGAAUACCAAGGCGCUUGAGAGAACUCGGGUGAAGGAACUAGGCAAAAUGGUGCCGUAACUUCGGGAGAAGGCACGCUGAUACGUAGGUGAAGCGACUUGCUCGUGGAGCUGAAAUCAGUCGAAGAUACCAGCUGGCUGCAACUGUUUAUUAAAAACACAGCACUGUGCAAACACGAAAGUGGACGUAUACGGUGUGACGCCUGCCCGGUGCCGGAAGGUUAAUUGAUGGGGUUAGCGCAAGCGAAGCUCUUGAUCGAAGCCCCGGUAAACGGCGGCCGUAACUAUAACGGUCCUAAGGUAGCGAAAUUCCUUGUCGGGUAAGUUCCGACCUGCACGAAUGGCGUAAUGAUGGCCAGGCUGUCUCCACCCGAGACUCAGUGAAAUUGAACUCGCUGUGAAGAUGCAGUGUACCCGCGGCAAGACGGAAAGACCCCGUGAACCUUUACUAUAGCUUGACACUGAACAUUGAGCCUUGAUGUGUAGGAUAGGUGGGAGGCUUUGAAGUGUGGACGCCAGUCUGCAUGGAGCCGACCUUGAAAUACCACCCUUUAAUGUUUGAUGUUCUAACGUGGACCCGUGAUCCGGGUUGCGGACAGUGUCUGGUGGGUAGUUUGACUGGGGCGGUCUCCUCCUAAAGAGUAACGGAGGAGCACGAAGGUUGGCUAAUCCUGGUCGGACAUCAGGAGGUUAGUGCAAUGGCAUAAGCCAGCUUGACUGCGAGCGUGACGGCGCGAGCAGGUGCGAAAGCAGGUCAUAGUGAUCCGGUGGUUCUGAAUGGAAGGGCCAUCGCUCAACGGAUAAAAGGUACUCCGGGGAUAACAGGCUGAUACCGCCCAAGAGUUCAUAUCGACGGCGGUGUUUGGCACCUCGAUGUCGGCUCAUCACAUCCUGGGGCUGAAGUAGGUCCCAAGGGUAUGGCUGUUCGCCAUUUAAAGUGGUACGCGAGCUGGGUUUAGAACGUCGUGAGACAGUUCGGUCCCUAUCUGCCGUGGGCGCUGGAGAACUGAGGGGGGCUGCUCCUAGUACGAGAGGACCGGAGUGGACGCAUCACUGGUGUUCGGGUUGUCAUGCCAAUGGCACUGCCCGGUAGCUAAAUGCGGAAGAGAUAAGUGCUGAAAGCAUCUAAGCACGAAACUUGCCCCGAGAUGAGUUCUCCCUGACCCUUUAAGGGUCCUGAAGGAACGUUGAAGACGACGACGUUGAUAGGCCGGGUGUGUAAGCGCAGCGAUGCGUUGAGCUAACCGGUACUAAUGAACCGUGAGGCUUAACCUU